rnacentral:misc_RNA from 1 species
GGAAUGCAAAAGUUUGUGGCCUGAGUAACUCCAGAUAUUCAUUCUUGUAUCAUCUGAUCCAGAUAUCAAAAGGGAGCCUUUUGAGUUCCAAGCUAUCGCAUUCACGCAACCCUGAUGCCCCUCUAGUUCUCUUUCUAAAGCCAUUCUUUUCACCAAAGAGGAAUGCAUUUGCAAUUCAUGAACAGAGUCAUGGCGAACGUCGAGGUAUCGUUUAUUGAUCAAGUUAGUGAUGUUG